UACAGAGGGGGCAAGCGUUGUUCGGAAUUACUGGGCGUAAAGGGCGCGUAGGCGGCCUUCUAAGUCGAACGUGAAAUCCCCGGGCUCAACCCGGGAACUGCGUCCGAUACUGGGAGGCUUGAAUCCGGGAGAGGGAUGUGGAAUUCCAGGUGUAGCGGUGAAAUGCGUAGAUAUCUGGAGGAACACCGGUGGCGAAGGCGGCAUCCUGGUCCAGCACCGACGUCAGGCACGAAAGCGUGGGGAGCAAACAGG
rnacentral:rRNA from 1 species